CCGAGCCGGUUGCGGUGAAAGUCGCAUGAGCGGUUCUUAGGGGGCUUACGCUACCCGAU
rnacentral:ncRNA from 1 species